GUCUCUGUGGCGCAAUUCGGUUAGCGCGUUCGGCUGUUUACUGAAAGGUUGGUGGUUCGAGCCCACCCAGGGACG